GCCGGGAUAGCUUGAGACGGUAGAGCACAAGACUCUUCGUCUCAGGGACGUGGGUUUAAGCCCCACCUUGGGCA